UACGUAGGGUGCAAGCGUUGUCCGGAAUUAUUGGGCGUAAAGAGCUCGUAGGCGGUCUGUCGCGUCGGCUGUGAAAACCCGCGGCUCAACCUCGGGCCUGCAGUCGAUACGGGCAGACUAGAGUGCGGUAGGGGAGACUGGAAUUCCUGGUGUAGCGGUGAAAUGCGCAGAUAUCAGGAGGAACACCGAUGGCGAAGGCAGAUCUCUGGGCCGUAACUGACGCUGGAGGAGCGAAAGCAUGGGGAGCGAACAGG
rnacentral:rRNA from 1 species